UACGGAGGGUGCAAGCGUUGUCCGGAAUCACUGGGCGUAAAGGGCGCGUAGGCGGCGCGGUAAGUCACUUGUGAAAUCUCUGAGCUUAACUCAGAACGGCCAAGUGAUACUGCAGUGCUAGAGUGUGGAAGGGGCAAUCGGAAUUCUUGGUGUAGCGGUGAAAUGCGUAGAUAUCAAGAGGAACACCUGAGGUGAAGACGGGUUGCUGGGCCAACACUGACGCUGAGGCGCGAAAGCCAGGGGAGCAAACGGG
rnacentral:rRNA from 1 species